AACAUUUGUGGUUGAAGUAGUAUCCUGGGAGUGCAUUCUGACGAAGAACAGCAAAGGACCUGAGCCCUAGGACCAUGCCUCAGGACUACCUGGCUUGAUGACUCCUUGCUGUCCCCAGUUCACCUGGCCGUGCUGCUGCUCCAGUUCCAACUGUUCUGCCUGCAGCUAUGGAACCCUGACCUGUUCACCGGACGUGCUACCUGUCCCAGACCUGCUGUCCCAGACCUGCUGGAACCCUGACCUAUUCACCGGAUGUGCUACCUGUCCCAGACCU
rnacentral:lncRNA from 1 species